GUAAGUCUUGGGCACAGGACUGUGCUUACAGAGUCACUGUCACUCGGCCGCUGUCCCUGCACAGUGACCUCACAGAGCAGCUCUGCAGUGACUGUGCUCAAAUGGGAGUGCCCACAAGCACUGCAGCCAACACCAGUGAGUGCAUGCACAUCUGUGCACUGCAGCCAACACCAGUGAGUGCAUGCACAUCUCUGCACUGCAGCCAACACCAGUGAGUGCAUGCACAUCUCUGCACUGCAGCCAACACCAGUGAGUGCAUGCACAUCUCUGCUACCUGACCCAAUAAUCCAGUGGCCCUUCAGAAACAGCUUCCUGUUGGGAGUUCUCACCUUCCAGAGCAGGGACCUGUGUGCCAUCUGUGUGACCUACACAAGCAGGCUAGAAAGGGUUCAAUUUAAUCCUAAAUAAAGGAGCAGCCCCUUCUAAUGAGCAGGUAUACAGAAGCCUUUUAAUUUCAAUGAGUCACUUCAAGGCAAAAGUCCUAAUGAAGACAACAUAAUUUGUAGUGUCAAUAGCUAUUAGUGCUAUGAGGGCUCCAGAACAGUGAGCUUUGAUUUAACGUCUUCCUUUUAGAGCACACUCUACCUUCAUAACAAGAACAAGGCCAAAGAGGAAUAACCUUCAGGUGCUCCUGAAGAUCAGGAGUCCACAGCCAUAGAUUAUUUUGAUUACCAUCCCCUCAUUUGAGAAAAAUCAACACAGUGCUAUCAGAAUAUUUAUGUCAUCAGACCAAAUGAAUCUCCAACAAGAUGUGAAUUUAUAUUCAUGAAGUAUUAACUACUGCAUUUUUGAGACUCUAGAGUACUUCUUGGGUUUUGGGGCUACAGGGAAUCCAUAUUUUCCAAACCAAGAAGUAACUUUGCUGGGUGACACUGGUCUUAUGCAAUAUCAGUUUUGCCUACUUACCCCCACC